UUCGUGGAAUUUUUUAUAUCCACUCCACUUUUCUCCGGCAUAAUAAAAUACUUUCCUGAAUAAUCAUUAGUGCGUAAACGAAAAUCAUUGUUUGCAACGAGAAUAAAUUUUCUACAGAGCACUGUCACUCGAGCGAACCUUCGAAAGCCGAAAGUUAAUCCAGUUUCGAAAAAUUCUUCGAACGCACUAAAUUAUAUGUAAUCUGCCACCUUGUGAUUACGAUUGACGCGUUAAAGUUUAUCGCUGCUCACGCUCUCGCCGUAAGCGGAAGCCUUAAGUUCAAAGAAGAAAAACAGCCCCCUCCGAGGGCAAUCGCGAUAUAAAAAAGAGUUUUCGCGAUAAGAUCGGCUUGUAUAUUAUACUCGUUACGUUGACUUCCGUGCGGUGAGUUUACUAUCGCGUAUAGGCUCGCCGCAUUUAAGCCAGUCAAGCGGUCAGUAGCACCACCCACGUGCGCUCCAACGUAUACAAAUACAUGUAGCAGAAUGUUGUCGAGCUCAUAUGCAAGUUUCCGGUUUUAGUGAACGCGCGACUCUCGUUAUCGCGGGACUUCGGAGCCAUACGCGAAACGCUGCGCAGUCGAUCCAGAUCAUACGGUCUUUGGCGCACCUCUGCUUUUAGUGUACCAUACCGAAUUCGAGACUAAUCAAAAAGAUUCGUUUUCCGGGUCUUUUGUAACCUCCAUGGCAAUCGGAUUGAGACAAUUCAUUUCGUAUCAUCCUCAACAGCGACAUCAAUCAUCUUUUCAAAAAUCGUCGCAUCAUUUUAGAGAAAAUCAGAAAAGCCACGAUGAAUAUAGAGAAUUUUUCUGCAUUACUCGUAGAGAAUCCACAGGAAACGCUCCUGGGACGUCCGCGUGACGAAACCAAAUUGCCAAAUCGAGAUGCAAAACCAGACUGGAAACGGCCCAACUGUUUUUAUAGAUGGGAAGCUUUAGGAGCGUCCGCGAAUACGAUUCUUGCACAGGGAAGUCUGUAAAGAACUGAGAAGACCUUCUCUGCAGCGUCUUCUCGAAACAGCAGCGCACUUUCAUCGCCAACCGCAUGGCAUCUCGAAUUAAGUGCCAGGCAUCAUAUAAUGAUGAUAAUAAUUACAGUAAUGGUGAGCAUUGUUGCGUCGUCAUUAAAACUGUAACUGAGUUAAAAUAUUGUAUUGAGUCCACUGCCAGCACAUAAGUCCCUCCAUUUGGAACUCGAGCACCAUAAAACAGUUCUAACGAUUACGGUAAUGCAAUUGCAAUUAUAUUUGAAUAAUCAGAUCUCUCUUUUUCAUAGUUAUUCCACUUUCGUCGGUAUACUUUAUUGAACAGAUAAUUAUAAUGAUAUAAAUCGUACAUGAAAAUCCGUAUUGUAAAAUCGUCGCGAGAGAGCCACCGUGCGAGACGAUAUGGGCCCGGAAGCGACACGACGACCACCGGAACCGUACAUAUACUCUUGCACAACGUUCAUUAUAUCCGAGAGAGGCCCGACGGAAUGGAUGGCUUCGGCUCCCCCACGAACUAACGUUUUCACCGUUCUGGCUGACGAAUAAUUUCGCGUUCAUCUCCGGCUAAUCGAACAUCUUUCACCUUGAGGCAGUCAAAUUUUUUAUUAAACAUAAGCCAGCAUUUACUCGAGCGAGGUCAGCUCUCGUUGGAGGUUCAACUGUAACAGCUCCUCUGCAGGAUUUUACGCACCGAUGGAACCGAGACGUGUGGCGAGGGAUCUCGUGUAUGAAUAAAAUAACAGCGUUCCGCUUAUCGUCAAUGCAAACAUCACAGUUUUUAUACUCUUGAGUCUCACCGAAUGGCAGACUCUUAAUCAAGGUAUCCAGGAUCGAUGGACGACGAAGCAACGAGAGGACUAAUUUUUGAGAAACAAACUAAAACGAUCGACCCCAAAACAAUAUUUUUUUGACUUCAAUGCCGUUCCAAGCUUUUCUGGAACAAAAGUUCCCCCGAAAAUCUUCCAAUCGAUUAUUAACGAAAUGGUGCGCUACGAUUUCGUUACACUUUCAUCUCCUCGAAAUAUUUUCCCUUCAUGGAGAUUUCGUAAAGCAUAGACGAAAAAUAGUUCAGCCUAGAACUCCAGGAAGAUCAAGGAACAUUGAAUUUGUCGUUGUUUCGACAAUCUUUCAAAAUAGUCAAUUAUUCGCUCCGUUGAGAAGCUCGUCGGAGUAACCGAAAUAACCAAUUCGACACGAGUGCUCUGGGAAACAUCGGAAUCGACGAAUUCACCAGCAAUGCAGAAUAUAUUUAAUGUAACAACGAAAAUUAUCAUGAUUAUCCAACAAAAUGUAUGGCCCAAUUAGAAUUGCGUUCGAUUUCACAUCGAGAAAUAAAAUAAUGCUGCUGAUUGAAACGAAA
rnacentral:lncRNA from 1 species